GUGCGAAAAGGAAAGAAGGCCAAAGGGAAGAAGGUGGUGCCGACCCUUGCUGUCUUGAAAAAGCAGGAGACCGUGAAAGUGGUGAAUCUUCCGUUUGAGAAAUUUGGCACUGGACAGGACAUUUUGGCAUUGGACAGAACAUCCAGCCCAAAAGGCACCUCACUUGCUUUGUCAAAUGGCCCCAUUAUACUAGGUUGCAACAGCAGAGAGCCAUCCUCUAUAAGCAGCUAGAAGUGCCUUCUGUGAUUAAUCAGUUCACCAGGGCCUUGGACCACCAAACAGCUGCUCAGUGGGGUAAGCUGGCUGGCAAGUACAGACCACAGACAAAGCAAGAGAAGCAGCAGAGACUGUUGGCCUGGGCUGAGAAGAAAGCAAAGGAGACAUCCCCACUAAGAGAUCACCUGUCCUUUUAACGGGGGUUAACUCUGUCACCACCUUAGUGAAGAAAAAGAAGGCUCAGCUGGUGGUGACUGCACAGGACAUAGAUCCCAUUGAGUUGGUUGUCUUCCUGCCUGCCCUGUAUUGUAAACUGAGCGUUCCUUACUGCAUUGUCUAAUGGAAGGCAAGCUUG
rnacentral:lncRNA from 1 species